CGGGACUGUAGGGAAUCAGGUUCAAACCCCUGCUCAGCUCGUUGUCCGGGUCAGCAGCAUCUGUUUUACAACCACCACACACACGGCGAGACACACACGGACGGAGAGACAUGGCGGUUUAAAGAGGAACUGCUGUGUACCGUGAGUUGCUGGGGAUGGUGCCGCGCUCGCCCUGGUCGGAGCCGCUGAAGGGGUCGACACGGGUGCACAGCCACUCGCAGCGGCCCUGGUGCCUGGUGUUCAGGACGUGCACCACCUCGUCGCAGCGCACGCUCAAGGAGCAGUUGUCCGAUUGGCCAGAGAUGUUGAGGUUGACCCGUAUGUAGAAGGAGUCUCCAGAAGCCAGUGUGUUGUCUGCCAGAUCCCUCUGAAGACGCCGGAGGUGGUGACCUUCUCGCAGCCCGACCUUCUCGGCGAUGGAACCCGCCUGGACAGCCGAGAUGAAAAUCCCGCUGUCGUUGCCGCCGACCAGAGUGAUGUCCCUUAAAAGGUUGUCGCCUAGCAACGACAGCUCCUGCACCGGCUUCAGGGACGAGCUGAUCCUCGAGAAGGAGGACAGAGACGGACGGAACGGCCUGUCGUAGCUGUCCAUUCCUUCGGACGGAUGGGAGGAGGAAGACGAGUGGACCGAAGGAGGACCACGCUCUUCGUCGCCUGGGGAAAGAAAAGACAGACGGACAAAUAGGCAGGAAAGAGAAAACAGAAGAUAAAUACAGACGUCCAGAUCAAAAACAUCAUUCGUGUGAUUUUGGGAUGUGUAAAAGUGAA